rnacentral:rRNA from 1 species
AUUGAACGCUGGCGGCAGGCCUAACACAUGCAAGUCGAAUGGUAACAGGAAACAGCUUGCUGUUUCGCUGACGAAUGGCGGACGGGUGAGUAAUGUCUGGGAAACUGCCUGAUGGAGGGGGAUAACUACUGGAAACGGUAGCUAAUACCGCAUAACGUCGCAAGACCAAAGAGGGGGACCUUCGGGCCUCUUGCCAUCAGAUGUGCCCAGAUGGGAUUAGCUAGUAGGUGGGGUAACGGCUCACCUAGGCGACGAUCCCUAGCUGGUCUGAGAGGAUGACCAGCCACACUGGAACUGAGACACGGUCCAGACUCCUACGGGAGGCAGCAGUGGGGAAUAUUGCACAAUGGGCGCAAGCCUGAUGCAGCCAUGCCGCGUGUAUGAAGAAGGCCUUCGGGUUGUAAAGUACUUUCAGCGGGGAGGAAGGGAGUAAAGUUAAUACCUUUGCUCAUUGACGUUACCCGCAGAAGAAGCACCGGCUAACUCCGUG